rnacentral:rRNA from 1 species
CAGCAGCCACGGGAAUACGUAGGUGGCAAGCGUUGUCCGGAAUUAUUGGGCGUAAAGCGUCUGUAGGUGGCUUUUCAAGUCCGCCGUCAAAUCCCAGGGCUCAACCCUGGACAGGCGGUGGAAACUACCAAGCUGGAGUACGGUAGGGGCAGAGGGAAUUUCCGGUGGAGCGGUGAAAUGCGUUGAAAUCGGAAAGAACACCAACGGCGAAAGCGCUCUGCUGGGCCGACACUGACACUGAGAGACGAAAGCUAGGGGAGCAAAUGGGAUUAGAUACCCCCGUAGUCCCUGUCUCUUAUAC